AUUGAACGCUGGCGGCAUGCCUAACACAUGCAAGUCGCGCGGGCUGUAGCAAUACAGCUAGCGGCGGACGGGCGAGGAAUACAUAGGAAUUUGCCUCAGAGCGGGGGAUAGCCCAGGGAAACUUGGAGUAAUACCGCAUGAUGUCGAAAGACCAAAGCAGGGGACCGCAAGGCCUUGCACUCUGAGAGAAGCCUAUGUCUGAUUAGCUAGUUGGUGAGGUAAUGGCUCACCAAGGCGACGAUCAGUAACUGGUCUGAGAGGACGAUCAGUGACACGGGAAGUGAGGCACUGUCAGGGCUCAUACGUGGGGCGUCUGUGGGGAAUAUUGAACAAUGGGCGCAAGCGUGAUCCAGAAAUGCCGGGUGUGUGAAGAAGGCUUUCGGGUUGUAAAGCACUUUAGGCAGGGAAGAAAAAUUUCAGGCUAAUGUCUGGAGCCUUGACGGUACCUGAAGAAUAAGCACCGGCUAACUCUGUGCCAGCAGCCGCCGUAA
rnacentral:rRNA from 1 species